rnacentral:tRNA from 6 species
CGGGACGUAGCGUAGUCUGGUUAGCGCGCCUGCUUUGGGAGCAGGAGGCCGAGAGUUCGAAUCUCUCCGUCCCGACCA